CAUGCAGUCGAGCGGAUGAGGGAGCUUGCUCCUGAAUUCAGCGGCGGACGGGUGAGUAAUGCCUAGGAAUCUGCCUGGUAGUGGGGGAUAACGUUCCGAAAGGAACGCUAAUACCGCAUACGUCCUACGGGAGAAAGCAGGGGACCUUCGGGCCUUGCGCUAUCAGAUGAGCCUAGGUCGGAUUAGCUAGUUGGUGAGGUAAUGGCUCACCAAGGCGACGAUCCGUAACUGGUCUGAGAGGAUGAUCAGUCACACUGGAACUGAGACACGGUCCAGACUCCUACGGGAGGCAGCAGUGGGGAAUAUUGGACAAUGGGCGAAAGCCUGAUCCAGCCAUGCCGCGUGUGUGAAGAAGGUCUUCGGAUUGUAAAGCACUUUAAGUUGGGAGGAAGGGCUGUAGGCUAAUAUCCUGCGGUUUUGACGUUACCAACAGAAUAAGCACCGGCUAACUUCGUGCCAGCAGCCGCGGUAAUACGAAGGGUGCAAGCGUUAAUCGGAAUUACUGGGCGUAAAGCGCGCGUAGGUGGUUCGUUAAGUUGGAUGUGAAAGCCCCGGGCUCAACCUGGGAACUGCAUGCCAAAACUGGCGAGCUAGAGUACGUGUAGAGGGUAGUGCAAUUUUC
rnacentral:rRNA from 1 species